GACGAACGCUGGCGGCGUGCCUAAUACAUGCAAGUCGAGCGGACCAAAGGGAGCUUGCUCCUGGAGGUUAGCGGCGAACGGGUGAGUAACACGUGGGCAACCUGCCUGUAAGACUGGGAUAACAUCGAGAAAUCGGUGCUAAUACCGGAUAAUAAAAAGAACUGCAUGGUUCUUUUUGAAAGAUGGUUUCGGCUAUCACUUACAGAUGGGCCGCGGCGCAUUAGCUAGUUGGUGGGUAACGGCUCACCAAGGCGACGAUGCGUAGCCGACCUGAGAGGGUGAUCGGCCACACUGGGACUGAGACACGGCCCAGACUCCUACGGGAGGCAGCAGUAGGGAAUCUUCCGCAAUGGACGAAAGUCUGACGGAGCAACGCCGCGUGAGUGAUGAAGGUUUUCGGAUCGUAAAACUACUGUUGUUAGGGAAGAACAAGUGCCGUUCGAAAAGGGCGGCACCUUGACGGUACCUAACGAGAAAGCCACGGCUAACUACGUGCCAGCAGCCGCGGUAAAGUAC
rnacentral:rRNA from 1 species